rnacentral:rRNA from 1 species
CAGCGAGUUUUCCUUGUCCGAAAGGUCUGGGUAAUCUUGUAAAUGUGUGUCGUGAUAGGGAUAGAUUAUUGCAAUUAUUAAUCUUGAACGAGGAAUUCCUAGUAAAUGCAAGUCAUCAGCUUGCGUUGAUUACGUCCCUGCCCUUUGUACACACCGCCCGUCGCACCUACCGAUUGAAUGAUUCGGUGAAUUCUUCGGACUGUGGUUCGGACGCUUUCGGGCGACUGAGCUGCGGGAAGUUGUUUAAACCUCAUCAUUUAGAGGAAGGUGAAGUCGUAACAAGGUUUCCGUAGGUGAACCUGCGGAAGGAUCA